rnacentral:lncRNA from 1 species
AUGCAACAGGCCAGCCUCGGCUACGUCCAGCCCACAGAUCCUGUUCCCACUGUCAAGCUGCUGACGGCGCCGGAGACCCCAGGAAGUGUGUCCGAGUGCAGCUGGGGGGGCUCGGCCUCCCUGAAUGUCAUAAAGCCUCCCGCCCUGAAGGUUCCAGAAGGUGAGAGAAGGGAUGCCUCAGUCCUCCCUAUCUGUGCAGCAAAGGUGGAAGAAGAUGUCCUCUUUCCUGAUGCUCUCGGGAAAAGCCCACCAGCCCUGGUGACCUCGGAGGAUGAGGGGCUCGAGAGAAGCCAGGAAGACCACUCUGGGAAUGAAGACCUAGGUAAAGCCACUGCCACCUUAGACGCUCAGAAGGAGCCGCCUGCUCAGCACCAGUCCCCCGAGAGGAUGGGCCGCAGCGAAGUGGUUUUGUACAUUCAGAGUGAGCCUGUGUCCCCAGAGGCCACAGGCAGGGACCCCAAAAAGGAAGCCGCUCCGAAGAAGCACAAGGUCCGCACCCGCUCGCUGUCCGACUACACCGGCCCCCCUCAGCUCCAAGCCUUGAGGGGUACGGACUCGGCUGAGCUGGAGCUGCAGAUGUCCAAGGCCGAAGAGCCCUGCUCGGAGCCCAGCAUGCUGGACACCAGGGUCUCCGUCGCCCAACUCAGAAAUGUGUUUCUGGAGUCUGCUAGAGCCAGCAAGAAACCCGAACUCCAAACACGGGCUGAGCAGUCACCCAGAGGAACUGGCUUGCCCACCGGUGUGGAGCAGGAGAGAGGGGCCCGGAAACCGAGACGCUAUUUCUCUCCUGGUGAAAGUAGGAAAACUUCUGAGAGAUUUAGAACUCAACCUAUAACCUCAGCAGAACGCAAGGAAUCAGAUAGGUAGGCAUGUGUGCACAUAGUUCCGUAGUCCAGGAAAGUAGAAGAAAUGAUACAAGAUUUUUACCACCCUAAUGAAUCUGACACUGCUUACAUAGGAUGUUGGUGAUUCCAUGAUGCUUCUGUCCAAUCUGUAAGGGAUAACAUUUGGCUUAUUUAGAUGUAUUUUGAAAGAAUUUAACCUUUCCACCAGGAUCACAAUACAGUCUUACACUGCAUUCAAAUGGUGAGAAAUAAGAAAUAUUUUUCUUUAAUGUUAAUUUCUUUCCAGUCUUGUGAAAUUUGGAUUGAGUGUUCACCAGAUUUUCAAUGAAAAUAAGUAAGGAAUUUUAUAUUUGUUUUGUAAUGACUAUCUACACAUAUUUAAGUUUUUAUAUUGUAUUAUCACAUGGGAUUGCACAGACAUGAUGAGGUUUGUCAAAAAAUUUACCAGCAGUCCUGUUUAAUAAUAGCUCAAUCCUGGCUUCUCUCCACAAGGUGUACACCUGCCUGGGAUUGUGUGUCCAUACCGCUGUGUCUGUUCACAACUGUACACGGGUCUUCACAGCUAGAAUAGCUACAAAGAUGGUGUUCCAUAGGAGGGUUCAAGUGCAUCUAUUUCUCCUUUUGAUAUGAUGUUUUAUUUGGGUCUCCUACACCCACCACUAAUUUUUUAUUAUUAUUUGCUAAUGUCUUUCCUAGAUACACUUCAAGUUCAGAAAUGCCAACCAUUGAGGGCAAGUAUCUGUUUUCCUUUUUCUUCUUUUUCAUCUCAUCUAAGUUAGAUUUAAGUAAUAAAAUUCUUGGGUUUUUGAGAGAAUAAGAUUGUAGAAUCUGGCAGUUUCAUGCUUUUCUAUAAGGUUUUUUUUCUGUGAAUGUAAUAAAACCUAGUUGAAAUUUUCUGAUGAGUACACUCUUAUUUUUGAGAGGAGUUAAGAGAAUCGUAAAGUGAACAAUAUAAAAACAAGUGAUUUGAAUCAAAUAAGCAGGUUUUUCUUGUUACUGCUGCUAUUCAGCAGUAAGAAAAAUUCCUUCCAUAAAUCUGUCCUAUAAAUCACUGUCCGGACACGGUUUGAUUUGAGGUGCAGGAGGAAUUAGUACCUCUGAGCUGAGUAAGAAGAACAGGCUCCCCUCGAGAGGGAAAUAUGCCCAGUUGUUAAUUUAGCUCAUCUAUUCUCGUAUGCAAGGGAUUUUCAGGUCAGUCUUGGAAAAUGUUCCAGAGAUGCUGCUUACAUUUUCUAAUGAGGCUCAGUUUUUACUUAUUGGCUUUUCACAGAUGAAGAAAAGGUAGAUGAACGAGCCAAGCUGAGUGUUGCUGCCAAGAGGCUGUUAUUCAGGGUAAGGGCAUGGCUGGAAAUCGCAGCCCCUAUGAACGCGGGCUUCUGGGGCUCUGGCCACUUGAUAGCCCUCGGGGACCUCUGAGACCCUCCUCACCUGGCCCACCCGCUGUUCUCUUAUCAUGUUGCGCGAGUCAGCCUUCCACUGCUGGAACAAAACACCAGAGAGAGUCACCUUAGGGUUCCACACUCUCUGGAUAAGCAAGCUGGGGCUGGAGGCUUCCCCCGAGGGUCUUGGGGGGGACGCCCCCAAGGGAGCGGCAGCAGAUGCCCUGGCGCCCCCAGCCUGCGCGUUCCCUGCUGACCAGGACUCGGUCUCACCUGCGCCCCUCCGAGGGGCCCUGUAGGACAGAGCCAUUUCCCUGCCUCGACUUGCCCCCUUGACGUUGCGAGCACUCCACAGUAUCUCUACCCUUAGGAGAUGGAGAAGUCGUUCGAUGAGCAGAAUGCCCCAAAGAGACGCUCGAGAAACGCAGCCGUGGAGCAGAGGCUGCGGCGCCUGCAGGACCGCUCCCACACGCAGCCCGUCACGGAGCAGGAGGUGGUCAUCGCAGCCACGUGAGUCCCUGAGGGCCCGAAGCCCCCUCUCGCUUCAGAAAGAGGGUUUAGCUGGGAGCCACGGAGAGGCUGGGAUUGCAGGAUUUUCUUCCCUGCAGCCUCGCUAGGCUUUGACUUGGGAUGUUACCUAUUGUAACUGCUGGGAAAAUGUCAAAGAAUUGUAUUUGCUGUUGCCCGUGCCCUUUGGAUGUUUCUGUGUUUAUGGUGAAAAACAUACAAUACAAAAACAGAUGGAAGAGAAUGAACCCCCAGCUUCAGCAGUUCCCAGCGCCUGGCCGGCCUCUCUCCCAGCACCUCAUCUACUUCCACUUUCCGCUCGCAUUAUUCGCAAAUCCCAGGCAUUUUUCCACCUGUAAAUACUGCAGAACAUAUCUCUAAAGGAAAAACGUUUGUUUUGUUUUUAAAUAAUUACAAAAAACCAUUUAAAAAUGAAUUGCAGUUUGAUGAAUUUCCAAACUAUAGGACAGCAAUUGUAGCAAAAUACUCCAGUAUGCUCAGAAUAAUUUUCCCAGAGUACGGAAAUUCAUUCUAAGAUAAUGGCUUUCAUCAAGUGAAAAUUUGUAUUCGUUUUUUUAAAGUGUUUUUGUGGCCAUUGGCACCUGACAGGCCUCUCUGAUGAGGUCCGCCCUCUGAACCUGAGUUAGGUCAUUCUCCUUUGCUUUCUCGACAAUUAUCCCUCAGCUUCUCUUUGCUGGUGCUGUUCUUUUUCCAGUGCUGGGGAUGGAACCCAAGCCUUGUACAUGUCAGGCAAGUGCUGUAUCACAGAGGUACAUCCCCAGCCUCAAUUUUUUUGUUUUUAUAGAUGAGUACAUUCUUGUAACUUAUGACUAGGAACUCUCAGCAAAUUGAUUUGUUUUAAAAAAAUUUUUUUUGAGUGGCUGGUAGAAGAAACAGAUACCUAUGGAAGCAAAACAAUAAACACAGGACAAUUAUCACCUUUGAGGCUCAGUGAAUAUACUCUGUCUCUUAUUUCUUAAGUUGCUCUUCAAGUUAUUUUGUGAUUUUUGUUUUGCCCCAACAUCCUUAGCAAAGAAUUUUGGUAAAAGAUUUAAUUUAACAUUGGUGAAUUUAGGGCUGGGGAUUUAGCUCAGUGGUUCCACCACCUGCCCCGCAAGUGGAAGGACCCAAGUUCAAUCCCUAGUACCCCAAAAAAAAAAAAUUGGUGAAUUUAAAUCUAUGCUGUCCUUAAUGCUUCUUUUCUUCUCUCUCCUUAUGGAUGUUCCUUCUUUGGCAAUUGCUUUUAAAGUGAACCUAUCCCUGCUUCGUGUUCUGGGGCCGCCCACCCUGGAAUGGUGAGACUUCCUAGGCCCACUGUAGCUAGGAGCUGUGUGCAGCCUGCCAGGUACUGGACAGAAACAGCUGCAUGUAGCCCCCAGUGCAAGGUGCUGGGCAGCAGUGCUCUGAAAGCCUUGAAUGCCUUUCAUGUGUGUGAUCUCCAAGUCCCCGGGAGUGUAGUGAGCUGUCCCUGAGACGUGUGGCAUUUUGUUUUGUCAUAGCGCAA